rnacentral:lncRNA from 1 species
GUGAAAUUUUGUGGGGAAGGACAUAUAAAAUGCCUUUUUAUGCUUUUCCUCCCUUCAGAGCUGCCUGAUGAGUGAUGGUUUCUGGAUCUAUACUGUAAAUGUAUAUAAAGACUUUCCAGAGAAGGAAUGAUCAACUUGAGGAUUUCUACAUGAACUUGAACCUCCAUGAUCUGACGCAGAGUGAAAUGAGCAGAAUAUCAUUCACAGAAUGUGAAACAUUGAGGAACCAUCCAAUGGAAUGAACUUUACUACUAUUAGCAAUGCAAUGAUCCAGGAUAAUGCAGAGGAGGUAUGUCUACUUCUGAGGUCAAAGGAUGCUAGCAGUCAAAGGCAAUCUUACUGACAACCUGUCAAAAUUAUCAUUGUCAUCAUGACUUGAAGACAGUGACCAAUGUUUCUAAGCCUCUACAAACAACCUAUUUACUGAAGGAUGUUUUUCUUUUUACAUUAAAAGACUGUGCUACUUACAAUAAAAUAAUUAUAUUACCACA